CUGGAAAGCGUGAGCUUAUGGCAAGUGCCACAGAAAAUAUACCGCCUAAUUUAUUAGGUAAGGGUGAAAUGGUGCGGUAAGAGCGCACCGCGCAGCUGGCAACAGCUGUGGCAGGGUAAACCCCACCUGGAGCAAGACCAAAUAGAAGAGCAGUUUGCAUGCAAACAGAUACGGCCCGUAUCGUUCUUGGGUAGGUUGCUUGAGGCAUAUAGUGAUGUAUGUCCCAGAUGAAUGAUUGUUCUCGACAGAACCCGGCUUAUCGGCCAUCUCUUUUU
rnacentral:RNase_P_RNA from 1 species